rnacentral:rRNA from 1 species
UAGGGAAUCUUCCACAAUGGACGCAAGUCUGAUGGAGCAACGCCGCGUGAGUGAAGAAGGCUUUCGGGUCGUAAAACUCUGUUAUUGAAGAAGAACGUGUGUGACAGUAACUGGUCAUGCAGUGACGGUAUUCAAUCAGAAAGUCACGGCUAACUACGUGCCAAGCAGCCGCGGUAAUACGUAGGUGGCAAGCGUUGUCCGGAUUUAUUGGGCGUAAAGCGAGUGCAGGCGGUCUUUUAAGUCUGAUGUGAAAGCCUUCGGCUUAACCGAAGAAGGGCAUCGGAAACUGGGAGACUUGAGUGCAGAAGAGGAGAGUGGAACUCCAUGUGUAGCGGUGAAAUGCGUAGAUAUAUGGAAGAACACCAGUGGCGAAGGCGGCUCUCUGGUCUGUAACUGACGCUGAGGCUCGAAAGCGUGGGUAGCAAACAGGAUUAGAUACCCUGGUAGUC